rnacentral:rRNA from 1 species
UACGUAGGGUGCAAGCGUUGUCCGGAAUUAUUGGGCGUAAAGAGCUCGUAGGCGGUCCGUCACGUCGGCUGUGAAAACCUGGGGCUCAACCCCGGGCCUGCAGCCGAUACGGGCGGACUAGAAUUCGGUAGGGGAGACUGGAAUUCCUGGUGUAGCGGUGAAAUGCGCAGAUAUCAGGAGGAACACCUGCGGUGUAGACGGCUUUCUGGACCAUUGUUGACGCUGAGACACGAAAGCGUGGGUAGCAAACAGG